GCCUGGCGCAGGUGCUCAGGGGCUGUCCACAGGUCUGUGCAUUUGGACAUCGAGGUGGCGAAACCAAGGGAGAGGCGCCCAGGUGGGAAGGAGCAGAGGUACCUCAAAACCAGGAGGGCGAUGAGUAAGAGCAGCACCAGCACCCCCGCCAGCGUGAAGACAGCAAUCAUCAGGAUUUGAGGGCCUGUGGCAGGAAAGGGUGGGUACCACGUUAGCAGGAUCUUUGAGGGGAGGGCAAAGGGGCUGCAAAAAUUUUAGUUGUAUAUAUAAUCUGUGGAAGGGGAAAAGAGACCCCUCUUGAAAAAUAUUUAUCUUUUAUUUAUGCUCAUGGGGAAUAGUUGUCCCAAGUCCCCAGACUCUGAAGAAAGUUGUCUGGCAUUCGCCUGAGGAAAGUGGUUUAAUUUCAGUUCUCCUUGUCACCUAUGGGUCUGUUAUUUCUAACAGGAACCACCAAAUAUUGCAGGAACAGAAAGUGGUUUCCAGCGCACAAAUGAUUUUGGUGGCGGAAGCCUACCUGGUGUCAUUGGAACCAGUGUACCUAAGAGACUCCACAGAGGAGGAAGGAGACAACUACUUUAAAAUACAAAACACACACGGGAAGCACCAUAAGUCAGUGCAGAAGUUAGAUGACGGUGCUGCAUGUCGGCUCUGCCCAAGUUCUCUAGGCUACUGGGCGUAGUCAACGACUGUAAUCUCAUUAGAACACUGGCUGAGUAGUUGGGGUAAGAAGAGAAACUCUCAGAGAAGAGGCAGUGGAAACCAGGAAAAUAUGGAUGUUAGUGAACUUUUGUCAGCCCCGACUGGGAGAGGAUCUGUGAUGUGCCGGUAUCUCAGCUCUUGAAUCUUCCCUGAGAAGAUCGGACAGGAGGGCUACAGAGUGGGACUCGGAAAGCAGUUGUUCUUAGGGAGCUCUUUUGUGGAUGACAGCACAGUACACUAUACAGAAAGUUAACUAUUAUUAAUCAGGGAAGUAUGCUCGGGAGAGAUCCAGGCAGGCAGAGCCAGAGGUGUUAACAGCUAGUAAUGAAAACAUACGCUCAAGGGGCGGGGGUGGGGCAGAUAGCACCUCGAGAGGGCAAUUGUUUGAGGCUGAAGUUUGAUUUUUCUUUGGUUUUCCUAGAGCUUGAAGAGUGGUCAGGCUUCUUCUAAUCAGUGCUGUGUCUCUAUCCUCCAUGGGCAAGGGUAGGAUUUGAACUUAUUGAUCUUCACCGGAACAGGUAUGGUGGCCAAAGCCCAUGGGGAGGAACUGGAAUGUGAAUGCAUGCAAAUGAGCCCCAUGGGGCAACAGAGACAACAUAAGUCUGCGUGGAGUUGGGGCCCCCCGAAGUGUGACUGUGUGAGCCCUACAGUGGUGAGACUGGAAUUCCUUCCUUGGGCACAGCUGCCAGCAUCCCACCUCCAGCUCAUCCCCAGCUAACUGCUUACUGUCAGACCCUACCGAGGGAGCACCGCAGCAGAGCUCAAGAAUGCGAAGGCACACGCCCGGCUUGAGAAGACAGCGAAAGGCCCAACACCAUCAAGUACAGGAAAGUCUGGACUCAGACCCCAUGGGGUCCAAGCGGAUUUCUGUUGGACUAGAAAGCUGCGGGCUCAAAAUGGAAUGGAAUUAACUCCAAGCAAUAGAUAAAACUUAUAAGAAACUGGAAAAUAAUAGAAAAAUGGUGAAGAAGACAUGUUUCUUCUUAGAGCAAGGAGGGAGGAAGAGACAGAGAGAAACAGAGACAGACAGAGACAGAGACAGAGAGACCUAACACCUAAUCAGGAACUCUGCAGGGAAAUGUUCAAGAAAGACAUAGUCCAAAAUCGAAACCAGAUGACGUGCAGACUGAUUUAGAGGCUUGACUAUUUUAAAAAAGGAGAGAGAGCCUUUUUUCUUUUGUGUAGUACAAAAGGGAGGUACUGGUGUCAUAUAGAAAGAAAGGUUAUGGCAUAUACUAUUUAGCCUUAUACAAAUAAUACUUAGGUCACGAUAUUGUUUUUGUGUGUGUGUCUUUAAGACAGGGUCUCCCUAUGCAGUUCAGCCUGGCCUUGAGCUCACUUUGUAGAC